AGCUUUAUGCAGUGGCAGUAUCUUAGCCAAUGAAGUUUAUCCAAAGUGCGAUUAUUGCUAAUUGAAAACUUUUUUCAAUACCCCACCAUGACAACUUGAAAUAUAGUCAGCAUUGGCAAUUUUUGACAGUCUCUAUGGAGA
ensembl:snRNA U4 U4 spliceosomal RNA